UUUUCCCGCCUCUCACCUGCCGUGCUCCUUCAUCGCCACUCUCCUUUGUCCCGGGACUGAAGCCGCUUGGUCCCGUUUCUUCCUGCUCUUUCGUUUGCCAGAAGGUGGUGAUGUCCCACUUUACAAGAUUGUGAACUGACCCUGUGAUCACAAGUCAACGGAAAGCAAGGCUUUAUCAUGCCAGGUAAAGGCAAAAAGGUAAAAGGCCGGGGACAGAGCCGGGGUGGGAAGAAAGGAAAAAAGCCUGAAGUGGACAUCCUUCACCCAGCUACCAUGCUGAACCUGUAUUACAUCGCCCACAAUGUUGCUGACUGCCUACAAUUCCGUGGUUUCCGCUGGCCAGGGGCUGGCAAGAAAAAGAAAGGAAAGAAGAUAUAACAGUGGAUGGAUGGAUGGAUGCCUUUAUAGCAUAUCUUCAUAACCAUGAAUUGUAACUAUUAACAGAAAUGUACAGUGAAGGGAUACAACCAAAACAGCCACUGAAGCAGAUUAAACUUUAAUGAAAACACCUUGAACUGGAGAAUGACUAGAGCUCUUGGAGUUAAGGAUAAAGGAAUGGAAUUAUCACUUAACGCUUGUGCCCAAGGGAAACAUUAAAUUUCUUUUUUUUUUUCUUUUUUUUUUUUUUUUUUUUAGGAACUUAAGGCAAAAAUGUGUCUAAGUAGUUAUCAAACUGGGUGGUUGAUUUCAGAAUACUGUUUGGUUCUAAUCAUUCUUUGUUACAUGUCAGAAUUAAAUUUUGCUUGGUGAAUCUAGUUCUCUUGCACUCAUUUUCUGCUGAUAACAGUAAAUGUGAACCUCCUCAUCCCUGAAGAGAGAGGCAGGUGAUUAUCCAUAUGAAGUUGCGGCAUGCUGUGCCAUAAUAAUGUCCAUCUCUGCCUGCCCACCACCACCAUUUUGAGGGGGAAAUAAUUAAGAAAACUAUUUUGUCCGUUUAGUGUGCUCCUCCCCUCCCCCUGACUGUUUUCCUGAUUUGAAAUAACUACAACUGCCUGCAGAGACUCCUCUGAGGCUUUAAUAACAUCAGCAAAAUGUGCUUUGUGCUAGCCAGAGCAUAUAAAAGGAUAAAAACUGCAAGGCACUUGUCAGUCAUUUGAGUGAAUAAAGAAAUGAGCCGGCAUGGAGAUAGUGGAAAGAGCUCAGUAUUUGGUUCCAGAAGACCUGGCUUUGACUCCUGACUGCCACUUAUUGCCCAGGGGAUUCUGUACAAGCCAUUUCGCCUCUCUGGACCUCAGUUUCCACAUUUGUACAAUGUAGAGGUUGGACUAGAUCAGAAGUGUCAAACUCAAUUAGUUAAAAUGUAAUUGGGAAAUGUUUACCAAAAAAAAAAAAAAAAUACAAACAUGUUAAUUUGUGAUUUUCUAAGCCAUGAUGGGACUUACUGGAUUCUGUUUCUAUUUGAGUUUGACACAGCUGGACUAGAUGAUCUCUAUUAUACUAGAUAUAGCUUGUUUGUAUAUAUUAGUUUGCUGCUUGUCUCUUUAGAUUGUGAGCUCUCUGAGGGCAGGGACUCUCUUUUUUGCCUUUCUUUGUAUCCACAAUGUUUAGUACAAUGCCUAGCACAGAGGAGGCAAUUAAUAAAAG
ensembl:lncRNA